GACGAACGCUGGCGGCGUGCUUAACACAUGCAAGUCGAACGGAAAGGCCCUGCUUUUGUGGGGUGCUCGAGUGGCGAACGGGUGAGUAACACGUGAGUAACCUGCCCUUGACUUUGGGAUAACUUCAGGAAACUGGGGCUAAUACCGGAUAGGAGCUCCUGCUGCAUGGGGGGGGUUGGAAAGUUUCGGCGGUUGGGGAUGGACUCGCGGCUUAUCAGCUUGUUGGUGGGGUAGUGGCUUACCAAGGCUUUGACGGGUAGCCGGCCUGAGAGGGUGACCGGCCACAUUGGGACUGAGAUACGGCCCAGACUCCUACGGGAGGCAGCAGUGGGGAAUAUUGCACAAUGGGCGGAAGCCUGAUGCAGCAACGCCGCGUGCGGGAUGACGGCCUUCGGGUUGUAAACCGCUUUCGCCUGUGACGAAGCGUGAGUGACGGUAAUGGGUAAAGAAGCCCCGGCUAACUACGUG
rnacentral:rRNA from 1 species